rnacentral:lncRNA from 1 species
CUAACCCUAGCCGCACUAGUCCUCAUUGGAGAAGAAGAAGAAGGGCCGUCAGAAAAGAAAUUGAUUGUCAUUGGCGCCGUACCAGAACCACCGUUGACACUGAAACAAGUAAUAUUUUUCUCUUUCUCGCUCGAAAUUUGAUCCUGAGUCUCCUCAUGCUCAUAUCAAAGCCAAAGAGUUGACAGGUGAGCCGAAAAUUAUGGACAAAGCUCGGCCGAGCCGUCGCACCCAAAAACCAAAACCCUCUCUGAUGACCUCCUUUCUGUUUUUCGUUUCGCAUGAUUCUUCGACCAUUGUGUUUAUUGUCAUUUUCUGAUACAGGUUAGCCGAAAAGGGACCCCAACCACGAAGGAGGAUCGAGGAGCCGCUGCAUUCGGAGAACCCCCCGUCAGUAGGUUUCGAUUUUUUUUGUAUUUUUCAGCCAACUAAGCCUCUUAACUUGUUUUUUCAUAGGGUUACGAGUAAAACCGACCAAAACUAGCCAAGUCAAGAUGAACCGCCACCAUGGGCGUUGAAGCACAGCGAGGCCGCUGUGACAGAAUCCUGAAAUUAGCGAAAAAGUUUUUCAACGCCUAUUUUGGCCUUUUAAGGUAUUUUUGAAUA